rnacentral:rRNA from 1 species
AUUGAACGCUGGCGGAAUGCUUUACACAUGCAAGUCGAACGGUAGAGGGGGCAACCCCUCGAGAGUGGCGAACGGGUGAGUAAUAUAUCGGAACGUGCCCAGUCCUGGGGGAUAACGUACCGAAAGUUACGCUAAUACCGCAUACGAUCUAAGGAUGAAAGCGGGGGAUCGCAAGACCUCGCGCGAUUGGAGCGGCCGAUAUCAGAUGAGGUAGUUGGUGGGGUAAAGGCGCACCAAGCCAACGAUGUGUAGCUGCUCCGUGUGGACGACGAAUCACACUUGAAGUGAGACACGGUCCAGACCCAUACGCGAGGCAGCAGUGGGGGAUUUUGGACAGUGCCCGCAAGUCUGACCCGGGCAGUCCGCGUGCAGGAUGAAGGCCCUCGGGUUGUAAACUUCUUUUGUACGGAACGAAAAGGUCUCCCUUAAUAAGGGGGGCUCAUGGCGGUACCGUAAGAAUAAGCACCGGCUCACUACGUGCCAGCCGCCGCCGUAA